rnacentral:lncRNA from 1 species
AUACAGUUGAAGCAUUUAUUUGAAUAACUCAAGUCAAAAAACAUCUCUUGAGAAAGAUGGUAUUGCUCUUUUGAAGGUUGUAGCUGAAUUUCCUGCAACUCUUUCAAUUCACCUGGGGAACUCUUAAAUAAGUAGACUGCCGGCUUACUUCCCUUGGAAAUUCUGAUUCCACAGGAUUUUCAUUUUUCAAAGAACAUUCUCUAAUGAUUGUGAUGACUGGACCAGUUUGGCAACCACUGGCCCAGACAAGUUCACGACGGCACCAUGAAACCACUAGGUUGGUGCGAAAGUAAUUGCGGUUUUUAAAAGUGAUGGCAAAAACCGCAGUUGUGUUUUCACUAACCUAAUAUGUCCAUAGUCAUGGCAAAGUUUGUUAUUCUGCUUCUCAUAAACUUGAAUGCAGGUCUGAAUUAUGAAACAUUGGACAUUUAUUGUGUCCAUAUACCUUCGAGACUCUGAAGACACUCUAGAUCAGGGGUUUUCCAACUAUGCUUUACUCAAGAGGGCAGAAUCCAGGGUGAAGGUGUGGAGGGUGACAAAGGCAUCUCAGAAGGACUAAGGUUUCCCUGUCAUUAGGCCUGAAAAGCAGAGCGUCCCACCAUUGCAUAUCUUUGUAGCAUUCUUCCACUUAGAUUUCCUUUGAAUAAAAGAUUUCCUGGCUUUAAAAAAUGUUUGAGAGCAAUAAUCAACCAGACCAGGGUUGCUCAAUCCAUGUGAAAAUGCAGCCUCGGAUUCAAUGGGUCUCCGCCAGGGUGGAUGAUCCUCAUUUUCUGCAGUCUCCAGGUGAUGUUGCUGCUACUGAUCCAAGAACCACAGUUUGAAUAGCUGGGAUCUAGACCAGUCCUUAAUUAUAGAGCAUUGUAAUACUAACAGACACCCUAAUGGAUCUCCUGUAUUCAUUCCAUGCAUCUUCUUCCUUACUUCUGUUGUGGAGUAGUAGACUGAUUUCAUCUUGAUAGUCUGGGUCAAUCACCCCAGCCAACACUGUAACUCCCUUUUUAGCCUGUUGACUUAAAGAAAGGAGGAGCCCAAAGUGUCCAGGUGGCAAUCUUAACUUGCUGUUCAAUGGAAUCGUUGUUGUGUCUCCUGGUGGCAGCGAUCCUCUGUCUGGAAUUGAGACCUUGCUUUUGACAGUUGAGUGGUGUCAUUGGCCCCUGCCACCUCCAGGUCCAAUAAUUCCCAUUGUCUUUAAAUUUUGCAGUUGAGUGACUGCAGUUCCCACUGUUAGAUCUGUCAUACAGAGA